ensembl:antisense Gm10640 predicted gene 10640
CUGGCAAUGCCAGCCCAGAGCUUGUGUCUCCUCACAGCAGAAGACAGCAAAGGCUUCUGCAAUCCAGCUCACUGGGGACCAGGGAAGGGUGACUUUGGUUUAAAGAAGACCCUGACUCUCAGGCCUGGCUUGGACCUUGCCAGCACUCUGGAGACCCAGGAUCCCUACCUUAGAGAACAAAGCUGGGAAGAGCUGCGUGAGGAUCGAGUUUCCUCCAGUUGACACCGCCAUCGCCAUCAUGAAGUAUGGUUGCCUCGGUGACCUUCAAAGACCUUGGCCCACACUCAAGGCCAAAGAACACACUGAAAAAAUACCAACAGUCAGGCAAGUGACAGGGUUUCUCUGCAUAGCCCUGGCUGUUCUGGAACUUGCUUCGUAGACCAGGCUGGCCUCAAAUCCAGAGAUCUGCCUCUUGACCAAAUGCUGGGAUAAAAGGCAUGUGCCACCACCAACCACCCAGCUGAGAGACCAUCAUAAAGGGGCAGGCCUGGAAGCA